rnacentral:lncRNA from 1 species
AAUCAUACUAAAUUCACAUAAAAAUUCAAACUUUAUGUAUUUAAAUUAAAAUCAAAAUUCAAAUUUUACCAAAAAGAAACCAGACCCAUCUGUUUGCAUACAUAACAUCAAAUUAUCAUUACACGAGCCCCGUCCCACCUCCAUGUGAAAAAAUCAUAUUCCAAACAAGGAAACGGGUGAAAGCUAAAAAAUGGAAAAUCAACAAACAGAGGGACUCGAGUCACUCAGGGAGUGACUUCCACCAUGCUUGGAGGUGGAAGCAAAGCCGAAACAAGAACCAAAGCCGAAUUCCCCUUCUCAACCUCCGUUAUUUUCUUUCCAUCUAUCUUCUCCUUGGCGUUCCAAGUUCCUUCAAAACCCGCUAUCUUGAACAUCUCCCAGAACAUGCGCGCUNNNNN